rnacentral:sRNA from 1 species
CUUUAAAUUCUCCCGUGCUAGGGCCGGCCUGCGCAUUCUUACCUGUCGGGGUGCGGCGAGUGUCUCACCGCUCUGCACUUCCAAGGACUCUUGUCAUCUGCCUUAGACGGGAAAUGCUGUUGCUGGAUUGCAACCCCGAGGUGGAUGGUCUGAAGCAUUUGCUGGAGACAGGGGCCUCGGUCAACGCACCCCCGGAUCCCUGCAAGCAGUCACCUGCCCACUUAGCCGCAGGAAGCGGCCUUGCUUGCUUUCUUCUCUGGCAGCUGCAAACGGGCGCUGACCUCAACCAGCAGGAUGUUUUAGGAGAAGCUCCACUACACAAGGCAGCAAAAGUUGGAAGCCUGGAGUGCCUAAGCCUGCUUGUAGCCAGUGAUGCCCAAAUUGAUUUAUGUAAUAAGAACGGGCAAACAGCUGAAGAUCUCGCUUGGUCAUGUGGAUUUCCAGACUGUGCCAAGUUUCUUACAACAAUUAAAUGUAUGCAGACAAUAAAAGCAAGUGAACACCCUGACAGGAAUGAUUGUGUUGCUGUGCUCAGACAGAAACGGAGUCUUGGAAGUGUAGAAAAUACCAGUGGGAAAAAGAAGUGCUGGUAAGUAACUCAGAGCUGCUGCUUUUUUCCUCCCGCAGUGAUCUCGUUUGCAUAGCAUUUAUUAUUCCAUUUAAUACUGACACUCGUAUUUCUAGUAGUAUUGUUUCAUUCUCAUUAACAUUUUAAUACUGGUUAUACUUACCAGAGUCUAGAGACCAAAAAUGGGACUGCAUGGUGGAAGUUUGGGGAUAAAACUCUUUUUAAAAAAAAGUUUUUAAUGUUAACGUUUUUUUAAAAACAGAUGUCACGUGGGUUAUGAAGAAGUCUGAAGAACGCCUUCAUUUCAUGCAGAUCUAUAAGCUCCUGCUUUUGGCUUUACCAUAUGUUGUGUCUAAACUCCUUCUGAGAAGGAGGAAAAACUUUCUUCCAAGUGAAGAUCCAUUUAAGAACACAUGUAUUUACAUGCCUAUAAUAUGCUGGUUGUGUAUGCUUUGUCUUUUAAGUUAUUAAAGGAAUGUCUAAAAAAUACAUUCUCCGUGCAGUAUUUACAACCUUUGAAAAAGGUCAUAAUUUAAAUCGUCAAACUAGAACCAGGAUUUAAUGUGAAAACUUAAACUGAUUCUUUAUUCACAAAUUUAUAAUACCACUCUACUGCAGUCUUUGACUCCAAGAUAUUUUAAAUCAUAUUUGGUCGCUGAGGAAGACAUAAGUUAUAGUAUGCAUCCUUGUUCCAAAAAUCUGGGCCCUUCCAUCCGCACCAGCCCUGGAUAGAGAAGACGGGAAAGGAAAGCCUUUUACAAAGUUACAAGAUUAUGUCAUGGAGAUCGUGACAUCAGGCUCUGUCAGCAGGACCUUGGAAUAAGACUCUAAAUGGCUUUAUCAUUCAAGGAUUUGAAUUCCUACUAGCAUAGAA